rnacentral:tRNA from 1 species
GGGCGUGUAGCUCAACGGUUAGAGCCAGUUGCUCAUAACAACUCUUAUCCCAGUUCGAAUCUGGGCACGCCCACCA